GACUUUCGAAUCGACGAUCGGCUCCGUUAGACUUGAUCUAAAGUAUUUGAAGUAUCUAGAAAAUAAAUUUUGCGAUUUUUCGAUCGAUAUCAUUUGCCUAGUGAUCGAAGUGGCUCAAAAUCAACGGCUGAAAAUAAAAAUCUUACAAAAUAUGAUGAUAUGACAUUAAAAUUUUAGAUCAAAGUUAUUGAUCUUGUUUUAUAUGGUAUAAAGAAUUUUCUAUCAAAAUUUCAUAUGAUUUGGAUAUUUCUACACCGUUAAACUUGCAGCCGGCUCACCACGGCCAUUAAAAUUAUUGAUUUUGAGAUAGAGAGAGAGAGAGAGAGAGAGAGAGAGUAGGUAUUAUGUGCUAUUAGGAGCACGGAGGUUUCUAUGUUCCAAAGAUAUUUUUGAUGAUAGAGUUUUCGAAUCGACGAUCAGUUCCGUUAGAGUUGAUUUAAAAUAUUUGAAGUACUUAGAAAAUAAAUCUUACGAUUUUUCAAUAUCAUUUAAAUGCUGGAGGAGAAAUAUUAUAAUCUGUGGAUAAAACAAAACCGACAUAUAACAACAGCGAAUUGAGAGCUCACCAAUAUAUUUUUUCCAUUAGGAGAGAGAAAAGAGUGAUGCAGAGUUCAGCUACUAUCUUUUUAAGAGGACAGAGGCCUUCAUCCUUCUAAAAUUAUUUUAGAUGAUAGAGACCCCGAAUCGAUGAUCGGAACCGUUAAAAUUGAUUUAGAGUAUUUAUAACGUCUAAAAANAGGCCUUCAUCCUUCUAAAAUUAUUUUAGAUGAUAGAGACCCCGAAUCGAUGAUCGGAACCGUUAAAAUUGAUUUAGAGUAUUUAUAACGUCUAAAAACUAAAUUUCAUGCAUUUUAAAAUUCGUUAACAAGUUCAUUGAAGAGUUGAAAAAUAAACGGUAAAAAUUGAAUAACUUACCGGUUCUUAAAAAUCGAAUAACCUUGUGAAACUAGAUGUUAGACUUUUUCAAUUCACGAUCAGAAUUAUCAAACAUUAUCUAAAUAGUAUAUAGAAUUUUCUAUCAAAAUUCAAGCUGUUGUUCUACACCGUUAAAUAAGCAAACUGCUCAUAUAAACUAUAAAAAAUUAUUAAUUUUGUGAUCCUUUGGUUAUUAUGUAAAUAAUUUUUAAAAUUUAUAAAAAAAUUUUAGACACUUUAAAUACUCUAUAUCAACUUUAAUCAUUUUGAUUACCGAUCCGAAAUCUCUAUCAUCUAAAAUGAUUUAGAAAGAUAAAAAUC
rnacentral:lncRNA from 1 species